AUCGCUGGAAAGUGGUCGUAUCAAAACAAAGGAAGAAAACAGGGGGGUAGACGGACGAGUCAACACAAGUCAUUCUCUAACUACAAGGACCGUGUUUGUUGUUGCUACGAGACCUCGCCAACUCUUGGCUCUGGGAGUGAGUGCAGGAAGAUAUAAACGCCGCGGAAUUCGAGGGUGUGAUCCAUGAGGCUGUUGAGGGGGUCGUGAGUUUCUGAAGGAUCAACGCUGCCGAUCUUAUGAGUGGCUAAGGUUGUGGUGGACCAAUGUUCCUAGAGGCAACCACAGAAGACUUCAAAGGCCAAGACAAAUCCAGAGUAAAGGACAAUCACCUGUAAAAGAAAAAAUAAACAUUAAUAGGGACACUACUUUUAUUAACACAAGACUAACAAUAAGCCCCAAAAAUUCCUAACUCCCAAUCUUUUAAGAUUGGUUCAGCCAGGCUGACCCCUUCCUCAUAUUUUCGUUCAGAGCUUGUUCCCUGAAUGAGUGAAGUACAUCCACCACUUUAGUGCCAUCGCCACAUUGUACAUAUGCUUUAUUGAAAGCACUGUACAAUGCAUUGCAGGCACUAAAGUUGUAGAUGUAUCCACCCAUUCAGCAAACAAGCCCUGUGAGAAUUAACAAUGAAGCCAUUGUUAAGGGUCCCUACACCUAAGCACUUCUAGUCCAUCUAUUGGAUGGGUAGUAGAGCAGGGCUCUGAAAAAGCCAAGACAGGGAACUCUGCAAGACUGCCUGGUCCCCUUCUAUGAAAUGGGGUAGGAUCAGUACAAACUGCAUCCCUGUAGGGUGUAACGGUAGGACAUUGUUACACAUCUAUAAAUGGACUAGACAAAAGAAUUAAUGUACGUUAAUUUAUAUAGCUAAAACGUUCAAAAUACUCACCAGCUUUGUAGAUUUCCUUUUGCAAAGCAGAAGCCUUAGUUUUGAUACCACUCUUCUUCAUUAGAACCUGAAAAAUAUUUCCAAAUUACCUUAAAAUGUCUUAAAUUAAAUUUAAAACUUGUACAGUAAGUUACAAAUUGAGUACAAAAACUCAUUCAUACAAAGCAAUUAAGAUAUUUACAUAUUCUGGUAGCAGUAAAAAUUUACUUUAAUGCUAACCAAGCCAUAAUUUUAGAUAUGGCUACUCACAAAAACUAGAACUUUAGUCUGUACAUAAAUGUACUUGUUAAUCAAAUACAUGAAUUUCCAGGCUAGUGAACACUUUCAUUAAUAUCUACAUUUAACCAUUUCACAUUAUCUUCAGCCAUAAUGAUUGUUUAACUACCAGUUAUUUUACUUUAAUGCAAACUUAUUCAAAUAAGACUUAUUACCACACACCUGAUUCUGUAAUUC